CAGCAGCCGCGGGAAUACGUAGGUGGCAAGCGUUGUCCGGAAUUAUUGGGCGUAAAGGGCUCGCAGGCGGUUUCUUAGGUCUGAUGUGAAAGCCCCCGGCUCAACCGGGGAGGGUCAUUGGAAACUGUUUAACUUGAGUGCAAGAGGGGAGAGUGGAAUUCCAUGUGUAGCGGUGAAAUGCGUAGAUAUUAGGAAGAACACCGAUGGCGAAGGCAAUCCCCUGGGCCGACACUGACACUGAGAGACGAAAGCUAGGGGAGCAAAUGGGAUUAGAUACCCGGGUAGUCCCUGUCUCUUAUAC
rnacentral:rRNA from 1 species